rnacentral:tRNA from 2 species
GAGGGGAGGUUCAACCAACAAGAAACUGCUAAUUCCUGUAUCUGAGUCUAAAACCUCAGCCCCCUUA